rnacentral:rRNA from 1 species
UACAGAGGUCCCAAGCGUUAUCCGGAUUCACUGGGUUUAAAGGGUGCGUAGGUGGCUUUGUAAGUCAGUGGUGAAAUGCUUCCGCUUAACGGAAGAACUGCCAUUGAUACUGCUUAGCUUGAAUCAGGUGGAGGCGGAUGGAAUAUUACAUGUAGCGGUGAAAUGCUUAGAUAUGUAAUAGAACACCGAUUGCGAAGGCAGUUCGCUGCGCCUGAAUUGACACUGAGGCACGAAAGCGUGGGGAGCAAACAGG